GCCUUUAUAGCUCUGUGGUAGAGCGUUGGUCUCGUAUAAUGUUAAAAAGAUAACCAAAGGCCGAGAGUUCAAUCCUCUCUGAAGGCA
rnacentral:tRNA from 1 species